rnacentral:tRNA from 1 species
GCGUCCGUAGCUCAUCCGGAUAGAGCGACGGACUUCGAAUCCGUAGGCAGCAGGUUCGAGUCCUGUCGGACGCA